rnacentral:lncRNA from 1 species
CUGAAUAGUUAUACAAUCAAGUUUGCAGUUCAGAAGGUUACUCCCAAUGCACCAUGGAGAUUGUACUGAAAGCUGGUAUUGGGGCUAGGGCUUGGGACGGAAUUUCAGGGAAUAAUGCUGGAUCAUAAAUUCUCUGUGGAUGGUAACAGAGCCUUUGUCUUUGACAUUACCUUCUUAGCUAAAAACUCAGUUCGAAUAUUCAGCCACUUCAGAAUUCAAGUAACACUUCCUUCUUUUAGCUAUGACAUUUAAAUAGCUCUUAUUUCUGGGAUAAAAGUGACUUUUGUUCUCGUGGAUGCCACACAUCGUGGAUGAUACCCAUGCUGUGGAUCUCAUCAAAACCUGAGUGGCCCCAAAUGAGUGAGCUGGUGGCCUGGUGAGAAAUUCAGCAUUCUCAACUUCUUCUUCUUAACACUCUGAAGUUUCAUUCUUAUGAGGUGCCACAUUUUGCUAUGCUUUUAGCUGGACCUGCUUCAAAUUUCUUAAUCUGAUGUUUCAGGGAGCAGUAAAAAGAACAAGUAAACAUGUUCCCUAAGCAAUUACUAAUGCAAACCCUGAUCCCAGCAGGAUUCAUUAAAUACGUAAACUUAUCCUCUCCUGGUCAAGAGACUUUAGACUGGAAGUAGUUGAAAUAUGGCAGGUAGUUCAUGUUUUUGUGGUGUGAAUUCGAUUCUGUGUGUAUCUGUGUACACUUAGUGCAUUUUUAAACUAUUGUAAAAUCACUAUUCUUAGACUCGCCUGAGAGUAACUCACUUGUGGAAAAGGUGGGCAGUUCUGCCUUGUGAUUACUAUGCCUGCCCCCUAGGUCAUCUGCUCAUCUUUCUUCUUCAAACAAAUUAAAAUAUUAGUCCACUAGAGAGGGACCGUUCUCACUUUGAUAUGUCACACAGAAUGUUUAGAGCUAACUUUACCUGUUAGUGGCAACAGCAGUGAUGAUGUGGUUAUCAUGACACCUGCAAAUGUCUCUCUUCCUAUGUACUUAUUAUCAAUCUGGGAAUGUCGUCACCCCAGUCACCCCAGAAUGUUUCCUUAUGACUGCAUUCUUACUGGCUGUAAGUAACUCUUUUACUCAGCAAGGAACAAGGGCCAGAUGGCAUGCAGACAUGUGCUUGAGACUGGGAAUUCUACUAGUGCAUGUGGAGAGAAGAUAAACAUGGCUGCUGCGUGGAGUCAUAAACCUCAGAGGAAGAUGAGAAUGAGAUGAAAUGUAUAUGUAACCCUUGUGUAUAGCAAGUUUGGAAAGAAAUAAAAAGCGUAUCUGGCAGAUUAUGUAAAGUUUCUCUCUAUUUACUUUAUUGAUAUAGUCUCAGGUUUGCAUUGGGUGAUGAAUAAUAGAUUGGGGGAAGAUGUCCUUUGUUUAUUCAUUCAUUUCAUCAACAAAUAUUUAAUGAGUACCUACUAUAUGCCACAAAGAGUAUAAAUCUAGAGACAGAAUGGUGAGUCACAUAGACAGUCCUCCUGAUACAAUUAUUUGAAAUGAGUUAACAAUACUUCAAGGGUCCAUGUCUAAAUUACUGGGUAGGUUCUCAACAAAAUUUCUGGAUAAAUUAUUUGGCAAUAGAUGAACUUCAAAUGAAUCUCCAACCUUCAUUAUCACAGAGAAUGAGUUGUCUGGAAAAUUGGAAAUUCACUGUGCUGUCCAAAUUUUCUAAAGCUAUACUUUGUGAAAUCCCUAAACAAUAUGGAUACAUACUUGUCUAGUUCUGCUCUUUACACCUACAAUUGAUACAUUAAGUGUGCUGUUUGCUAUAUGUUUAAAGAUUUGUGCAUGUGUGGACAUUUGUGUGUGUU